rnacentral:rRNA from 1 species
GAUGAACGCUGGCGGCAUGCCUAAUACAUGCAAGUCGAGCGAACAGACGUGUUUCUUGCUCCUCAGACGUUAGCGGCGGACGGGUGCGUAACCCUUGGAUAACCUCCCUAUCUGACUGGGAUAACUUCUGGAAACCGGGGCUAAUACCGGAUAAUAUAUUCCACCUCCUGGUUCAAUCGUGAAUGACUGUUUUGCUGUUACUUCUAUAUCUUUCCGCGACGCAUUAGAUAGUUGGUAAGGUAACGGUUUACCAAGGCAACGAUGCGUAGCCGACCUGGGAGGGGGAUCGGAGCCACUGGGACUGAGACACGGGCCAGACUCCGACGGGAGGCAGCAGUAGGGAAUCAUGCGAAAUGGGAGAAAGCAAGACGGAGCAACGCGGCAAGGGUGAAGAGGGUAUUCGGAUCGUAAAACACUGUGAUUAGGGAAGAACAAAUGUGUAAGUAGCAAUGCAAGUCAUGACGGUACCUGAUCAGAAAGCAACGGCUAACUACGUG